rnacentral:rRNA from 1 species
GACAGAGGAUGCAAGCGUUAUCCGGAAUGAUUGGGCGUAAAGCGUCUGUAGGUGGCUUUUUAAGUCUGCCGUCAAAUCCCAGGGCUUAACCCUGGACAGGCGGUGGAAACUACCAAGCUGGAGUACGGUAGGGGCAGAGGGAAUUUCCGGUGGAGCGGUGAAAUGCGUAGAUAUUCGGAAGAACACCAGUGGCGAAGGCGACUUACUGGACACAUAUUGACGCUGAGGUGCGAAAGCGUGGGGAGCAAACAGGG